CUUCUCAGGCCACUUUCUCCUUCUACUCCGCUACAUUCCAGAGAGAAAUAUUUUACUUUUUACUCCAGUACAUUAACCUGACAGCUUUACUUACUUUGCAAAUUCAGAUUUUUGCACA